UACGGGGGGGGCAAGCGUUGUUCGGAAUUACUGGGCGUAAAGGGCUCGUAGGCGGCCAACUAAGUCGGAUGUGAAAUCCCCAGGCUUAACCUGGGAAUUGCAUCCGAUACUGGAUGGCUUGAAUCCGGGAGAGGGAUGCGGAAUUCCAGGUGUAGCGGUGAAAUGCGUAGAUAUCUGGAGGAACACCGGUGGCGAAGGCGGCAUCCUGGACCGGCAUUGACGCUGAGGUGCGAAAGCGUGGGGAGCAAACAGG
rnacentral:rRNA from 1 species